rnacentral:tRNA from 1 species
UAGCUCAGUGGUAGAGCAUAAGCUUACCAUGCAUAAGGCCUUGGAUUCAAUUCCCAG